rnacentral:rRNA from 1 species
CAAUAGCGUAUAUUAAAGUUGCUGCAGUUAAAAAGCUCGUAGUUGAAUCUUGGGAGCGGGUGGGCUAGCGAGCCACAGCCCGUCCCUGCUUCUUGCCUCUCGGUGCCCCCUGGAUGCUCUUAGCUGAGUGUCCUGUGGCCCGAAGCACUUACUUUGAAAAAAUUAGAGUGUUCAAAGCAGGCCCAAGCCGCCUGGAUACUGCAGCUUGGAAUAAUGGAAUAGGACCACAGUUCUAUUUUGUUGGUUUUCGGAACUGAGGCCAUGAUUAAGAGGGACGGCCGGGGGCAUUCAUAUUGCACCGCUAGAGGUGAAAUUCUUGGACUGGCAGUUUAGACCAGAGCGAAAGCAUUUGCCAAGAAUGUUUUCAUUAA